UUAAAAUUUAAUUUAUAAAUUAAUAUAUAAUAUUUAAGUUUUAGUAUAUAAUAGAGGAUAAAUAUAAUAUUAAAGUACUGUAAAGGAAUAUUGAAAUAUGUGAAAAAUUAGUUUUUAAAAAGUAGGUUUAUUAUUGUACCUUUUGUAUCAGGGUUUAUUAAAUAUAUUUAAAUUAAUUUAUUUUCUCGAAUUAAAGAGGGCUAAACUUUUAUGUUUAUUAAAAUAAUAAAUUUAUAUAAAAUAUAGGUUUAGUAAUGAAAUAUUAGUCGGUCUUUAAGAUAUCUAGUUUUCUAAGAAAUGAAUUUAAUUCAGGUAUUUUUAGAAAUUAAUUUAUAUAAGUUGUAAUUUUUAUAAAAUAUUAAAUUUUUAGGGGAUAAGCUCUAGAAAAUUCUAAAUAUAAUUAUUUUUAUAAGUUUGUAAGCUUGAAGUUAGCUAUCAAUUAAAAUAUGUAAUAAUUUAUUUAUAAAUAUAUUUAUUUAUAAAUUAUAUUAGAGGGGUAUUGGAAUUUUAUUUAAAAUUUUUAAAAAUAAAUAAUAAUGAUAAAAUUAAUAUAAAAUAAUAUAUAUAUAUAAUAAAAUCUUAAAUAAGGAACUCGGCAAAUUUUUACUCGCCUGUUUAUCAAAAACAUCGUCUUUUGGGUAUAAUUAAAAGAUAUAACCUGCCCACUGAGGAAAAUUGAAGGGCCGCGGUAUUGUGACCGUGCAAAGGUAGCAUAAUCAUUAGUCUUCUAAUUAAAGGCUGGAAUGAAUGGUUGGACGAGGUAAAAGCUGUCUCAUUUAAGAUAAUUAAAAUUUAACAUUUUAGUGAAAAGGCUAAAAUAAUGUUGUAGGACGAGAAGACCCUAUAGAGCUUAAUAAUUAAUUUAAGAUGUAAUUUAGUAUAGGUUUUAUUUUUAGUAAAAUUAUUUUGUUGGGGUGACAGGAAAAUAAGUAAACUUUUUUAUACAAUUCCACUGAUGAGUGAUUUUAUGAUCCAUUUUUAGUGAUUAAAAGAUUAAGUUACCUUAGGGAUAACAGCGUAAUCCUUUUUGAGAGUUCUUAUCGACAAAAGGGUUUGCGACCUCGAUGUUGGACUAAGAAAAUAUUUGGGUGUAGAUGUUCAAAUGUUAGGUCUGUUCGACCUUUAAAUUCUUACAUGAUCUGAGUUCAGACCGGUGUAAGCCAGGUUGGUUUCUAUCCUCAAUUAAUAUAAGUAUUUUAGUACGAAAGGACCAAAUAUUUGAGAUAAUCUUUAUAUUAGAAUAUUAUU
rnacentral:rRNA from 1 species